AGCCUUGCAUGCCGGAGCCUGGAACAUGUGAGGAGCUAUUUUGGUCAGAAUCCUGGGACAUGGGGAACAGAAGCUGACACAGGAUAUGUUAAGCAAACAAACAAAUGUAUUAGAAGAAUCUAGAAUAGCUCAUAGUAAAGAAGAAAAAGUUGAAGAAUCUAAGUUCUUAAAAGAAAAAAACAAUCGAAGAUAGGCUAGGAAUUUAGCUUGGAGGAAUCGUGCAGAUUCCUCUGUUCCGAGGCAACUAGGGUGAAAUUAUUGGAUCCAUUUUGCUUCUGUGUCACUGCUCUGGACACUGGGAUUCCAGGUCAAGACUAUCUGACAGGUCAAGCUUCAGCCAGGUGCCCAGCUUCACUUUGUUCCAGAUGUGGGGAGUUUCUGUGAUCUUUUCCUUGUAGAAAAUCAAAUCGGUUUUCCCAUCACGUUGUGUUACAGCAGCUUCAUUAGCAGGAAGAGAUUCGGUGCUGUACUGGGGAGCUAGCUACACAGAAGUAGUCCUAAGCGUGGUCAACUCAACAUCUCCAGCUCAGCCUCUUCCAGUUCGCUAUCUUCCAAAUUCUGAAUCCGCUUGCUGGACAUCUCCUCACCAGGCUAGUAUAUGCGCUCGCGCUCUCUCUUUCUCCUCAGAAGCAAGCAGGGAUGUGUGUGUGUGUGUGUGUACAGCUUAAAAUGUUGGAGAAGGGAAGACAAGUAAAGGGGGUGACGUUGGCUACAAGCAUGGUGGAUACCAUGGGUCCCUGAGGAAAUAAACUGUUUGCGGUUUUCCCCCAGAGUU
rnacentral:lncRNA from 1 species